GGUAAGGCCCGCCCAACUACAUCCGGUCUGCUUCUUUAAGUAGAAACCAGGCCAGUUUCCUUUCCUUUCCUUUCAGCUGCUGAAGAGCUGGGCGGAUGGCUCGAGAAGGACGUCGGAUGUCAUUGUCCUCCCGGCUUUUCGAUCUUCCCCCGAAGCCCCUCAAUAAAAUGGUUUGAUCCCA